rnacentral:rRNA from 1 species
UACGAAGGGGGCUAGCGUUGCUCGGAAUGACUGGGCGUAAAGGGCGCGUAGGCGGCUCAUACAGUCAGGCGUGAAAUUCCUGGGCUCAACCUGGGGACUGCGCUUGAGACGUGUGGGCUUGAGUGGGGAAGAGGGUCGUGGAAUUCCCAGUGUAGAGGUGAAAUUCGUAGAUACUGGGAGGAACACCGGUGGCGAAGGCGGCUACCUGGACCGGUUCUGACGCUGAGGCGCGAAAGCGUGGGUAGCAAACAGG